UACGGAGGGUGCAAGCGUUGUCCGGAAUCACUGGGCGUAAAGGGCGCGAGUAGGCGGCUCAUGAAGGCUGUGGUGAAAGUCCGGGCUCAACCUCGGAUCGGCCGUGCGACUCGUGGGCUGGAGCACUUGGUAGGAGGCGGGUGGAAAUUCCGGGUGUAGCGGUGGAAAUGCGUAGAGAUCCGGAAGAACACCAGUGGCGAAGGCGGCCCGCUGGGCCAGUGGCUGACGCUGAGGCGCGAACAGCGUGGGGAGCAAACGA
rnacentral:rRNA from 1 species